rnacentral:rRNA from 1 species
AUACGUAGGUGACAAGCGUUAUCCGGAUUUACUGGGUGUAAAGGGCGUGUAGGCGGUUUGGCAAGUCAGAAGUGAAAUUCCCGUGCUUAACUUGGGCGCUGCUUCUGAAACUGCUUAACUUGAGUGCUGGAGAGGAUAGUGGAAUUCCUAGUGUAGCGGUAAAAUGCGCAGAUAUUAGGAGGAACACCGGUGGCGAAGGCGUCUAAAUGGACUAUAGCUGCUGCUAGUGCGCGAAAGCACGGGGAGCAAACAGGAUUAGAUACCCUGGUAGUCCGUGCCGUAAACGAUGAAUACUAGGUGUAGGGGGUGUCGACUCCCGCUGGGCCGCAGUUAACACAUUAAGUAUUCCGCCUGGGGAGUACGGCCGCCAGGGUGAAACUCAAAGGAAAUGGCGGG